rnacentral:rRNA from 1 species
CCUACGGGAGGCAGCAGUAGGGAAUAUUGGGCAAUGGGCGAGAGCCUGACCCAGCCAUGCCGCGUGCAGGAUGAAGGCCUUCUGGGUUGUAAACUGCUUUUCUCAGGGAAGAAAAGAGGAUGCGUCCUAAACUGACGGUACCUGAGGAAUAAGCACCGGCUAACUCCGUGCCAGCAGCCGCGGUAAUACGGAGGGUGCAAGCGUUGUCCGGAUUUAUUGGGUUUAAAGGGUGCGUAGGCGGCCCGUUAAGUCCGGGGUGAAAGCCCACAGCUCAACUGUGGAACUGCCCUGGAUACUGGCGGGCUUGAGUCCAGACGAGGUUGGCGGAAUGGAAGGUGUAGCGGUGAAAUGCAUAGAUACCUUCCAGAACCCCGAUUGCGUAGGCAGCUGACUAGGCUGGUACUGACGCUGAGGCACGAAAGCGUGGGGAGCGAACAGGAUUAGAUACCCUGGUAGUCCACGCCGUAAACGAUGGAUACUCGCUGGUGGCGAUAGACAGUCACUGGCUUAGCGAAAGCGGUAAGUAUCCCACCUGGGGAGUACGCUCGCAAGAGUGAAACUUAAAUGAAAUUGACGG